AUUGAACGCUGGCGGCAGGCCUAACACAUGCAAGUCGAGCGGAUGACGGGAGCUUGCUCCUGGCUUCAGCGGCGGACGGGUGAGUAAUGCCUAGGAAUCUGCCUGGUAGUGGGGGAUAACGUCCGGAAACGGGCGCUAAUACCGCAUACGUCCUGCGGGAGCAAGUGGGGGAUCUUCGGACCUCACGCUAUCAGAUGAGCAUAGGUCGGAUUAGCUAGUUGGUGGGGUAAAGGCCUACCAAGGCGACGAUCCGUAACUGGUCUGAGAGGAUGAUCAGUCACACUGGAACUGAGACACGGUCCAGACUCCUACGGGAGGCAGCAGUGGGGAAUAUUGGACGAAGGGCGAAAGCCUGAUCCAGCCAUGCCGCGUGUGUGAAGAAGGUCUUCGGAUUGUAAAGCACUGUAAGUUGGGAGGAAGGGCAGUAAGUUAAUACCUGGCUGUUUUGACGGUACCAACAGAAGAAGCACCGGCUAACUUCGUG
rnacentral:rRNA from 1 species